rnacentral:rRNA from 1 species
AGUGAACGCUGGCGGUAGGCCUAACACAUGCAAGUCGAACGGCAGCACAGGAGAGCUUGCUCUCUGGGUGGCGAGUGGCGGACGGGUGAGGAAUACAUCGGAAUCUACUUUUUCGUGGGGGAUAACGUAGGGAAACUUACGCUAAUACCGCAUACGACCUACGGGUGAAAGCAGGGGAUCUUCGGACCUUGCGCGAUUGAAUGAGCCGAUGUCGGAUUAGCUAGUUGGCGGGGUAAAGGCCCACCAAGGCGACGAGCCGUAGCUGGUCUGAGAGGAGGAUCAGCCAGACUGGAACUAAGACACGGUCAAGACUCCUACGGGGGGCAGCAGUGGGGAAUAUUGGACAAUGGGCGCAAGCCUGAUCCAGCCAUACCGCGUGGGUGAAGAAGGCCGUCGGGCUGUAAAGCCCUUUUGUUGGGAAAGAAAUCCAGCUGGUUAAUACCCGGUUGGGAUGACGGUACCCAAAGAAUAAGCACCGGCUAACUUCGUGCCAGCCGCCGCCGUAA